UACAGAGGUGGCAAGCGUUGUUCGGAAUUACUGGGCGUAAAGGGCGCGUAGGCGGUCUUGUAAGUCUUGUGUGAAAUCCCUCGGCUCAACUGAGGAACUGCACGGGAUACUGCGAGACUUGAGUUCGGGAGAGGGAAGCGGAAUUCCGGGUGUAGCGGUGAAAUGCGUAGAUAUCCGGAGGAACACCGGUGGCGAAGGCGGCUUCCUGGACCGAUACUGACGCUGAGGAGCGAAAGCCAGGGGAGCAAACGGG
rnacentral:rRNA from 1 species